CCUACGGGGUGCAGCAGUGAGGAAUAUUGGUCAAUGGGCUUACGCCUGAACCAGCCAAGUCGCGUGAGGGAAGACUGCCCUAUGGGUUGUAAACCUCUUUUGUCAGGGAGCAACGCCGGCUACGUGUAGCCGGACUGAGAGUACCUGAAGAAAAAGCAUCGGCUAACUCCGUGCCAGCAGCCGCGGUAAUACGGAGGAUGCGAGCGUUAUCCGGAUUUAUUGGGUUUAAAGGGGGCGUAGGCGGAAUGCCAAGUCAGCGGUAAAAGCGCGGGGCUCAACCUCGCUCCGCCGUUGAAACUGGCGUUCUUGAGUGGGCGAGAAGUAUGCGGAAUGCGUGGUGUAGCGGUGAAAUGCAUAGAGAUCACGCAGAACUCCGAUUGCGAAGGCAGCAUACCGGCGCCCAACUGACGCUGAAGCACGAAAGCGUGGGUAUCGAACAGGAUUAGAUACCCGGGUAGUC
rnacentral:rRNA from 1 species